rnacentral:piRNA from 1 species
UGUUGGCAGCUAGUGAAUGUGACAAUAU